UCCAGGCGAGUCAAUCCUUCAGCUAUAUGAAUAUGGAUAUAAACUUUUAGUUUGUCAUAUUUGGUGGAGUAAAUAUUUAUCUAUUACUUUCUUGAUUUUCAUUGCAGAACCAACAAGAUAAAGUUGGAACCAAUGUUUUCGUGGAGAGGACAGCUCUUGGAGCUAAAUAGCCAAAAUUGAAUCAGCUUUUGUCUACCAAGGAAGACUGAUCAUUCAUUCUGAAAUGCCUGAAGAAGUUACCAAAGGAUAGAGCCAGACUACCAAGAACUGUCGAAUUCAAACAUACCAAAAGCAGAAGAA